rfam:Dialister sp. CAG:357 genomic scaffold, scf149
GCCGGAGUGGCGGAAUGGCAGACGCACCAGACUCAAAAUCUGGCGAUGGCAACAUCGUGCGGGUUCAAGUCCCGCCUCCGGCA